UACGGAGGGUGCAAGCGUUAUCCGGAUUCACUGGGUUUAAAGGGUGCGUAGGUGGGUAGGUAAGUCCGUGGUGAAAUCUCCAAGCUUAACUUGGAACUGCCGUUGAUACUAUUUGUCUUGAAUAUCAUGGAGGUAAGCGGAAUAUGUCAUGUAGCGGUGAAAUGCUUAGAUAUGACAUAGAACACCGAUAGCGAAGGCAGCUUACUACAUGUUCAUUGACGCUGAGGCACGAAAGCGUGGGGAGCAAACAGG
rnacentral:rRNA from 1 species